AGGGUAACAGACAUAUUUAUUUCAAAUACCAUCAAUGGAAAUACAUCAUGUUGUCGGUUACAAGCAAUCCUAGGUUCUGAAUAAUAUUACAGCCAAGCCAAAUGGAAGAAAUAAUUUUCUAAAAAAACAACAAAGAAUACACAUCAUCCUGUCAUGACAGUCGCCCAUGCCCUUCCCUGCAUUAUGCUUCCACAGACCGUUUAGGAACCGCAGGGGUAUCCUCCAGCACCAUACUCUGACCUGCAAAUCCAAGAGCCAGCAGUACCGUGCCGUCAGUGUGAACAAGAGUCCAUGUGCGCCAGGGAAAUGCAAUUGAAUACAUGGUUUGUUUCUGUUGUCGCCGCCUACUAUAAGUCUAGUACCUGCUGCAAGCCAAAUCCAAACGUGUAUAACAUAAACCCAAAACU
rnacentral:lncRNA from 1 species